CGGACAGUUGCUGGGCAGACAUCCUUGCAGAAGUAGCCUCUACGUCAGGCUGUGGUGACCUCUGGGCAAAGCUGUGUUUUUGACCGUCUUUUGUGGUAAUGUCCCCAUGGAGAGAAGCAGCCCAGGCUUCCGUAUCACUCAUGACGUUGUCCAGCACUGGACGUGACUGCGGUGUGGGAGCCAUUCCCAGCCCUCCCCAUCUCCUCUGUUCUCUGACAUCAGGGAGCUCAGGCUGCCGUAACAGAAUGCCGCACACGGGGGCUGGAGAUCAGCACUUAUCUCUCACAGUUCUGGAGGCUGGAAGUCAGAGAUCAGGUGCUGGCGGUCGGGUCCCAGGAAGGCCCCUCCCAGGUGGCAGACGGCCACCUUCAGUCAUGUCUGCCCGUGGAGGAGACAGGGUUAGAGAGCUCCCUGGGACUCUCAUAAGGACACUGAGCCACCCAUGAGGGCGCCACCCUCCAAAUCCAACCACCCCCACAGCCCCCAAAAUGCUCCCACAAAAGAGUUUUGCAGGGACAAAGCAUUCCGCCCGCAAUCUGUAACAACUGUGUUUAACGUUAUUAAACAACAUCACUUAAGGAAAA